GUCAACAUCAUCCGAUUUGAAUAUAGGCGAAUCGCCAAUAUGGGAUAAAGAAACUCAAUCCAUAUACUUUUCGGAUAUUUUUGGAAAAAAAAUGUAUCAUUAUUCAUAUUAUGAGAAAAAAAUGUAUUUAGUUGAUUUCCAUCCGGAUUCGUCGCCAGGCUUUAUGUUUCCCGUACGAAAUAGCCCAAAUUUAUACGGCGUUGGCGGGCGUUGGUUGUAAUCGAUCGGUUUUUACAAUAAAAUGGGAUGGAAAGUCACGCCAUGUAAAAGAUCUUAAAAAAAUGUUCAGCGUUAAAUCGAACACAAUUCAUUUAAUGAACCAUGGAGUUGCUGAUACACUGGGAAAUUUUUUCGUUGGAACUUUUGAUCCAGAUAUUUGUAGUACGUCCGACUCUCUCGGACUUUAAAGUAACAACUGGCCUUGCAUUUGAUCCAAAAGCAAAAACACUAUUGCACUUAGAUGGAUGUACUCAAACCAUAACUGAAUUUUCUUGCCAAUGAACGAGUUUUUAUGCAACUAAACUUUCCUAAGCAUAUGCUUCUUGUGGGAAUCGCAUUUCGACGAACGCGCUACAUAUAUGUCGGAUUGUAUAAAGAAUCCGUAGUAUUAAAAAUCAAUCGAAAAUCGAAAAAAAUUGUUGAUAAAAUUAAACUUCCAACACCAUAUUUAACAUCAAUGGUGUUUGGUGGUCCAAAC